rnacentral:rRNA from 1 species
AAGGGCGCAUGGCGGAUGCCUUGGCUCUCGGAGGCGAUGAAGGACGUGAUAAGCUGCGAUAAGCUUCGGGUAGGUGCAAAUGACCUUUGAUCCGAAGAUUUCCGAAUGGGACAACCCGGCAUUCUGAAGGAAUGUCAUCCAACUUUGUUGGAGGCUAACGCAGGGAACUGAAACAUCUUAGUACCUGCAGGAAAAGAAAAUAAACAAUGAUUCCCCCAGUAGUGGCGAGCGAACGGGGAACAGCCCAAACCAUCCAUGUUACGGCAUGGGUGGGGUUGUAGGACUACGCCGUUGCAUGAAGACAUCAGAGAAGAACUUUCUGGAAAGAAAGACCAUAGAGCAUGACAGUUGCGUAUUCGAAUGUUGUCGAAGCAUAGUAGUAUCCUGAGUAGCGCGGAGCACGAGGAAUUCUGCGUGAAUCUGCCGGGACCAUCCGGUAAGGCUAAAUACUCCCGAGAGACCGAUAGCGAACCAGUACCGUGAGGGAAAGGUGAAAAGCACUUCGAACAGAAGAGUGAAAUAGUUCCUGAAACCGUGCGCCUACAAGCGGUCGGAGCUCGUUAAUGAGUGACGGCGUGCCUUUUGCAUAAUGAACCUACGAGUUGCCUUUGCCGGCAAGGUUAAGUGUGACGACACACGUAUCCGAAGCGAAAGCGAGUCUGAACAGGGCGUAUAGUCGGCAGUGGCAGACGCGAAACCAAGUGAUCUACCCUUGGCCAGGUUGAAGGCUGGGUAACACCAGCUGGAGGACCGCACCAAUAAGCGUUGAAAAGCUUCUGGAUGAGCUGAGGGUAGGGGUGAAAGGCUAAUCAAACUUGGAGAUAGCUCGUACUCCCCGAAAUGCAUUUAGGUGCAGCCUUGAGAGUUACUAAUGUGAGGUAGAGCGACUGAUAAGAUGCGAGGGCUUCACCGCCUAUCAAGUCUUGACAAACUCCGAAUGCGCAUCAGUUCUACCGCAGGAGUGAGGGCAUGGGUGCUAAGGUCCGUGCCCGAGAGGAGAAGAAUCCGGACCACCUGCUAAGGUCCCGAAAUGACAGCUAAGUUAAACUAACGAAGUCUGACUGCUAAGACAGCUAGGAUGUUGGCUUGGAAGCAGCCAUUCAUUUAAAGAGUGCGUAACAGCUCACUAGUCGAGGAGUCGGGCGUGGAUAAUAAUCGGGUAUUAAGUUGUCUACCGAAGCAGUGGGAUCAUUUAUAUGAUCGGUAGGGGAGCAUUCCAGUCAGCGUCGAAGGCGUACCGUGAGGUAUUCUGGAGCGUCUGGAAAAGCAAAUGUAGGUAUAAGUAACGAUAAAGGGGGCGGGAAACCCCCUCGCCGAAAGACUAAGGUUUCCUGAUCAACGCUAAUCGGAUCAGGGUCAGUCGGGUCCUAAGGCUCAGCCGAACGGCGAUGCCGAUGGCAGAAACGGUUAAUAUUCCGUUACUACCUUCAGGAGUGACGUGGAGACGCAGUAGUGACAGUGCCGCCAUCUGACGGAAUAGAUGGUUGAAGGGUGUAGGAGUCGAUCAUGGCAGGCAAAUCCACCAUGAGAUCCGAACCUGACAGUAUGCCGCGUCCUUCGGGACAAGGCAAUAGUGCGCGUAAGCAUGCUGCCGAGAAAAUCCGCUAAACUUAAUCCUGCAGGUACCCGUACCGCAAACGGACACACGUAGUCGGGAUGAAUAUUCUAAGGCGCUUGAGUGAUUCACGGUUAAGGAACUAGGCAAACUGACCCUGUAACUUCGGGAUAAAGGGUCCCUACCCUUUUAUGGGAGGGCGCAGAGAAUCGGUCCAGGCAACUGUUUAACAAAAACACAGGGCUGUGCCAAAUCGAAAGAUCCAGUAUACAGCCUGACACCUGCCCGGUGCUGGAAGGUUAAGAGGAGAUGUCAUCGAUGAGAGAAGCGUUGAAUUGAAGCCCCAGUAAACGGCGGCCGUAACUAUAACGGUCCUAAGGUAGCGAAAUUCCUUGUCGGGUAAGUUCCGACCUGCACGAAUGGUGUAAUGAUCUGGACACUGUCUCAACCGUGAGCUCAGUGAAAUUGUAGUAUCGGUGAAGAUGCCGAUUACCCGCGAUGGGACGAAAAGACCCCGUGAACCUUUACUAUAGCUUAUCAUUGAAUCUGGGCACGUGAUGUGUAGGAUAGGUCGGAGGCUUUGAAGCAGGUACGCCAGUAUUUGUGGAGCCGCUGUUGAAAUACGACCCUUUAUUUGUUUGGAUUCUAACCCGUGGAACGGGGACAUUGAUUGGUGGGUAGUUUGACUGGGGUGGUCGCCUCCAAAAGCGUAACGGAGGCUUCUAAAGGUGCCCUCACGCCGAUUGGUAACCGGCGGUAGAGUGUAAUGGCAUAAGGGCGCUUGACUGGGAGACUUACAAGUCGAUCAGGUAG